rnacentral:rRNA from 1 species
UACGGAGGGUGCAAGCGUUAAUCGGAAUUACUGGGCGUAAAGGGUGCGUAGGCGGUUCGUUAAGUCUGUUGUGAAAUCCCCGGGCUCAACCUGGGAAUGGCGAUGGAUACUGGCGAGCUAGAGUGUGUCAGAGGAUGGUGGAAUUCCCGGUGUAGCGGUGAAAUGCAUAGAGAUCGGGAGGAACAUCAGUGGCGAAGGCGGCCAUCUGGGACAACACUGACGCUGAAGCACGAAAGCGUGGGGAGCAAACAGG